UUUCCGUAGGUGAACCUGCGGAAGGAUCAUUCAUAAUAAAGUGUUUUAUGGCACUUUUUAAAAAUCCAUAUCCACCUUGUGUGCAAUGUUAGAUCUCGUCAAUCUUGGCGAGAUUUUUAUACAUCAACUCAUUCUUUAACUAAUUUGUCUGAAAAAUAUUAUGAAUACUUAAUUCAAAAUACAACUUUCAACAACGGAUCUCUUGGCUCUCGCAUCGGUGAAGAACGCAGC
rnacentral:misc_RNA from 1 species